AUCGUUGCAGUGAUUAUAAAAAAAAUUCCUCGUACUGAAUGCCAUAGCCAUGGCAUGGCAGACACUUUUACACCCAUAGAAUAUGAGCAACC
rnacentral:snoRNA from 2 species